rnacentral:rRNA from 1 species
UACGGAGGGUGCGAGCGUUGUCCGGAAUCACUGGGCGUAAAGGGCGCGUAGGCGGCGCGGAUAGUCGGCGGUGAAAGCCCGGAGCUCAACUCCGGGUCGGCCGUCGAUACUUCCGGGCUUGAGCACUGUAGAGGCAGAUGGAAUUCCGGGUGUAGCGGUGGAAUGCGUAGAGAUCCGGAAGAACACCGGUGGCGAAGGCGGUCUGCUGGGCAGUUGCUGACGCUGAUGCGCGACAGCGUGGGGAGCAAACGAGGAUUA